UUUCUUUGAAAGUGAUGUGCGUGUUAGUGUGUUUGGAAUUUUCACAAACAGUAAUUGCCCCAGCAAGGAUAAAUACGCCUUUCCCCCUGUCACUCAGUCGCUCGCUUGGUCUCUCUUUCUCCCGGCCGACGCCUCCACAGUCCACGACCUCCAGCUCUCUUCGCCAACCCAUUCGCAGAAUCGCAGAGCGAGCACAAAUCGAGAUCACCUCUCUCUCAUCAUUCCCAUUCUCCGAUUCCCCGUUUCCUAACAUCCUCCACCAUCGAUCACUCCAAACGGAAAAGGUAAAUAAAUGUAUUUUGUUUCUGUGUUUAUUCCAGCAUAUGGUCUUUGUUUUGGUAUUGAAUAGAUGCAAUGAUUUGGUUGCAUUUUAUGUACUGGGUCUAUUGAUUUGAUUUGAUUUGAUUCUUCCAUUUUCUGAUUCUCCCCAUCAAUUUUCAAGUACCCAAAUUUAUCAUCUUAAUAAUUGUUGGGUUAUGGAUCAUUGGUGUAGAAACCAGUCUCAGGCUCUCUCGUGUCUGCAUUGUUCACUUGUGUGCUUGUUUAAGUUUCUAUUUUGCAUUUACUUUUGAUAUGCAAACAUAGGAGUCCCAUAUAAUAAAUGGUUCCUAAUAACAUUAAGGUCUUUUGUAUAAAAGACCCCGUUUGCUAAACAGGUGGUUAAGUUAAGAACAAUAUCUAUGUUGCUAGUGGUGGGCCAAGGAUCCGUCUCGCUUAAAUCUUAACACAAGAAUAUUUGAUAGGAUUUACUUUUUUUAUUUUUAAACUAUGAUCCACAUCCACCAUUACUUGCUUAUAACUUAUUGAUUUUUCCUUGUUUUUAAACUCUUUCAAUUCUUUUUAUAAUUGUAUGCUUUUGUUUUGUACUUUUUCCUAUUUACUUUUAUUUUACAGUUUAUUACAUCCGAUUACAAAUUCAAAAGCAAACAGUGGAACUAAUUCCAUUCCAUCCUAAUUCCCAACCAAACUAUGUACUAGAUUCUAUUCGAGUACAGUUUUUUUUUUCUUCUCCAUUUUCUUAUCCAUUCGAGUUUGAUUUUUCUCGAUUUCCAUGUUUAAUUCUAACAUUUGAACUCCUUUUAUUUGGCUGCUUCUCAGUUUACUUUCUAAAACUUUUUUCUGAAUCUAAUUCAUUGGUUGAUGUGGGCAUUUCUAUUUAAGUUUUCACAAUUCAAAAACCGCACAAGACGGCUGCGUUUUCUUAUUCUCGCUUUCUUCAGUUCUUUGUUCUUUUUUUUCUCCUCUCAUCUGAAAUUUUCUUCCUUUUUGACGUGGAAUUUGUCAAUAUAAUUAGUCACAAAUAUUGGGUUUCGUUGAAGUUUCUGUUUUGGGUUGUUUUUUUCUCUUAUUGGGUAUGCACUGGAAGGUUAAAUGGUUUUGAGGAAAUUUCAUGGCUUUGGACAAUUGGGCCUUCUGGGAGAGUUUGAUUGCAUAGGCUGAGGCUGAGUCUUGUGCAUUCGAGGCUCUUUCCAAGUCUUGUGCAAUUGGCUCUUUUGCUUUUAUAACAUGCAUCAAUUGUGUUGAUACCAUCAUUGGCCUCACGUGCUUUCUCCAAUAUAGUGGCCUCUCACAUGGGUUAAGUCUCAUAUACCCUAUCAUCUGACCAGGCAAGAAACCCAUGCACUUAAAGGAAGGCCCACGCCUCCUCCUAGAUGGCCUAACAUGCCUAAGCAAGUUGACCACUUAAGUGGUGGUUUUCCACAUGCCACAAGUACCAAGAUUGGCCUCUUUCCUGUGCCUCAGGUGACCAACCCAAGCUGCCCGUUAAACAAGGGAGGGCUUCUAUAGUGAGUGGGAAGUUAUAAGGGGUGUUUUUGAGGGGUAUGUAAGAGUCGUUGGAUUUCAUCCAACGGUGAGUUUUUAAAAGAGGAUGCAUGUAGAAUCGGGUUGAAAUCUAACCCGUUAGAAACCCAACUUCAGUUGUUCCCCUCUUUCCCUCUCUGUGAAAAACUGAAGAACACAAUCCUCUCUUUUUGAACGUAAAGCAAACCCACAAUUAGAAGGAUCCAAAUCUCUCAAACCUUAUAGUCACUCGAUUGUCAUUAGCUCGUUGGGAGGCCUGCGAUCUAUGGUAUCCUGGGUAUUACGAAGAAUGGCUCUUACCUAGCUGUUGCCCUGUUUUGAUUCUAUGGCUCAAGUGAAAACCACUUCUCUUUUUCAUUCAGCUGACAAGAUUCCAGAUGAAAGCAAAGUAGCAUAUCUCUUUUUGUAGCUAGAAGCCGCAGCAGCAGUUGUUCCUCGAUUUUGGUAGAGAUGGAGUCUCAAAUACCAAAGAGUCUUCUCUAAUGUCCACCACAUUCUUUCAAGCUGACUGACUGCAGAGCUCCCGAUUGAUUUUGAGAGGUAAGUUCACUUGCUGGAUUGAUUUUAUUGGGUUAGGUUUAUUUUUUGUGAGGGUGGGAAAUUCGUCAUUUGUGGCAUCAAUAAUGCGUCAUUUUUGGAAUCAAUAAUGUGUCAUUUCCUUAUGAAUAUUCAAUAUACUUAGUUCAUUGUUGUUGGUCGGGGUGGAAAAUUAUGAAAUGUAGGUAAAAGAACCUAAACUUAGGCUUAAUGACAUUAGGAGUAAGCAGUUGGAGAGGAUAUUGGGUGAAGUUCUGUAAUUGGUGGUUUGAAUUACAUUUGUGUUCUUAGUUGAACAUGUUGGUUCUAAUGUUAUUUUUACCAGAUUAUUUCACAAGAGAUGACGUAACUUUUAUGAAAUUUUGCUUGCGUUUUGUGUAAUCGGAAGUUAGGCUAUGCGUAUUUUGUGUCAAUUUGGGCAAUGUUUUGUGUAAGUGGAAUGCAUUGAUAUGUUGUGAUGCAGUAAUGAGUGAUUAAUGAAUGAAUAAUUGCUAUGCAGUAAUAUAGAAGUGGAUCAAUAAUAUACGUAGAUAAAAUGUAUGGGGGCUCAGAGAGUGAUGAAUGUGCAACAGCUAAUGGGAGGGUUUAUAUUCCUGAAGUAAGAAAUGAGGAAACACCAGCAGUUGGGAUGAAGUUUGACUCGCUUGACCUCGUUUACAAUUUCUAUAAUAGAUAUGCAUUCUUUGCUGGCUUUGGUAUUCGACUUCAUUCUAGCUUUUGGGGGAAAAAUAAGAAAGAGAUUUUGAGGAAAGAAUUUGUAUGUUGCAAACAAGGUGCAUACAGGAAGGAUGAAACUCGGGAGAGAAAAAGACAACGGGGAAUAAGUAGAUGCAAUUGCAAAGCUAAGAUUGUGGUUGUGAAGACAAAUGGGAGCAAGAAGUAUACCAUAUCUCUUUUUGCAGAGGGACACAAUCAUAAGAUGACACCCUCAGAAAGAAUGCAUUUAUUGAGAUCACACCGUCAUAUUUCAGAUUCUACAAAAGUACUCACAAAACAGUUGGGUUCAGUUAAUAUUCCCAUUCAUCAGAAGGUAAGUAUUUUCGAGGUGCAAUCCGGAGGAAUGGAUAAAAUCGGUUUUAUCAAAAAAGAUAUCUACAAUCUUGAAUGUAGUGUGAAUGGGAAGCUGAGGAACCACGAUGUUGAACUAGUGACCGAGUAUUUUAUGACUGAACAGAAAAAAAAUGAGGCUUUUUAUUUCAAGAUUGAGGGAGAUGGGCAUGACAGGUUUAGUCGAUGUUUUUGGGCAGAUGCAACUUCUAAACGGGCGUAUGGGUUUUAUGGAGAUGUUGUAUUCGAUACCACAUUCAACACGAAUCGAUACGACUUGACAUUUGCACCAAUGUUGGGAGUUAAUAACCAUGGUCAGACAAUUGUCUUAGCAUGCGCAUUUUUGAGCAAGGAAACGACUGAGUCGUUUGUUUGGAUGUUUGAGGAGUUUAAGAAAGCCAUGCCAGGUGGGGAACCUAAAACGAUCAUUACAGAUCAAGAUGCGGCAAUGGCCAUAGCGAUUUCAAUAGCCUUCCCGACUACAUUUCAUCGACUUUGCAUAUGGCACAUCACAUCAAAGUUCUCUGUUAAGUUACCACGUGACGCUUAUAAGGAGUAUUGGCGUGAAUUUCAGAAAGCCAUAUGGGAUACUGACAAUAAGGAUGAGUUUGAUGCAAAAUGGAAUAUUGUGGUUACAAAGGCUGGUUUGACUGACCAUCCAUGGCUAAGUUCAAUGUUUGAUUUAAGGGAAUCUUGGGUUCCAGCCUACGCACGACAAUUUUUUGCCGCUGGAAUGUCAAGCAGCCAAAGAGCGGAAGGUUCUCAUAGUUUUUUCAAGCAAUACAUAUCAAGGAGAAAUUCGUUGAUGGAUUUCAUAAUACGAUUUGAGAGGGCACUUUCUCAUCAACGUGAAAAAGAGUUAGUUGCUGAUCACGUAGAUGCAUUUGAAGUGGCUCAAUGUCUUCUACCGAUGCUAAUGAACAAACAAAUGGCUACCUUGUACACAAGGACAAUGUUUCAAAAGUUUGAGCAAGAACUAAUACAAAGUACAACAUGUUUCCUAGAGCUCAAAACAGAGGAUGCUUGUAAAGUUGUCUUUAACGUGAGCGAAAGGAAAAAUUGGGAAACAAGAGUGGCAGAAGUCGUAUAUGUCAAAGAUUCUGACCACGCAUCGUGUAGCUGCAGAAGAUUUGAAUUUGUUGGAAUUAUUUGCAAGCACAUCCUAGCAUUGUUCAUAAGGGACCAGAUUGAAUAUAUGCCCGAUAAAUAUAUUUUGAAGAGGUGGAAGAAAACUGCGAAAUCUAGAUUGGUGUCAGAUGCAAAUGGCAACGAAAUUAAAGACUGUGCAGAUCCUGGCCUUCUAAUAAAGCGGAGUACAAUGUCUCGACUUGCUUCAGAUGUGGUUGAGGAUGCAUUAAUGAGUGAAGAAGGAUGUGAGCUACUGUCAGAGACUCUAAAAAGUUUGCAGGUGAAGUUGAAGUUGCUGAAGGAUGGACCAAGUAAUAACGAAGUUGGAGGGUCCAGCUCUCAAACACAAUAUAUGAAAGACCCUAAGAGAGUGAGGUGCAAAGGAAGGUCGAAAGGAGUAACGGGAGCAAAGGAAAAGGCAAUGAAGCGAGGGAUUAGACACUGUCGGGAGUGUGGACGCAUUGGUCAUGAUAGAAGACAAUGCCCAGCCUUGAACACACCGUAAGAUGCUAACACUAUUUGUAAUAACAUCUAAAAUUUGAAUAGGUAAAAUUUUUAUGUGCUUGUGUUUGAUAUUUAUGCAGGACAUCACCGUCGAACAAUGACGAAUCAACUCCAAUACAUCGUAGUGACCCAUUAUUCAACGAUUUUGACAAGAUGCACGGACCAACUGAAUGAUUUAUAUUUGUAUUAGACGAAAUGUGGUUGUUAUGAAGAUUAAUGAUCAGGUGAAGUUUUAUAGAUUCAGUUUUUGAAUAUUAUUGUGUUUUUGUUCAUGUCCACCGAUGAGCUCUUACUAUGUCCACUGGUAAUUGAAAUGAAAAUUUGCUUGGUUUCAUUCUUCCAUGAAAUUUGGAGACAUGUUAAUUUUACGUCUUCUCCCUAUUUAUAAAUUUUCAUAGACAUUUGAUCAAGUAUGAAAUUUGUAGUUAUGUGAAGAAGCUAUGACUUUUACCGUGUAAAAUGGGCAGUUUAGGGUGAAUUAUGUUUUAACAGAGAUUCAUUUUUCAAAUCCUCAGGCUAAUGCAGCAUUUCCAGCAGCCAGCUGUUGUUUCCAUUACCAGUAAUCAUUUCCAGCAGUAGCCACUUUUUUCGACUGGUUAUUAGGGGCACGAUUUUGUACACUUUUGUAACUGAAGGAUACUUGAAGCACUUUGUUGGAAUAGAGCAAAUAGAAAGCAGUGUGUAAAAAAGAAACAUAACAUUGCAGCUAAUUACAUUUCGAUACUUAGGUGAAAAAUAUUAAAGGGUACACUAACUUACAUAAAUACUCAUAAUUCCACACACAAAAGAACAUUUGAUUGCAAAACAUAUUAUGUGCUCCCUCUUAGCAAUACCACGAUCUCCCCAACCAACUGAACAACGGUAGCCACAAUCACUCGGUCGUACUCGUCAGCUUCUUCUUAGCAGGUCUCACAUGCUUAUGGCCACUCAUAUCCCUAGUGAUAUAGACGAAAUAAAUCUUCAGCAAUAUUUGGAAUUUUAUUAUAUAUAAAUAAACCAUAAACCAUUCACUAAACAAUGUAUAGCACAUGUUAUGUUACUUAUGACUCACGUGUCAGUUUUUUUUUAACACAUUAGUACGCCAGCUCUUUAAUGUAAAUGGACAUGAUAAGGAGCAUUUACUGAUUCCCGGCUUGCUGUGAUAUUGACUGCUUAUUGAAUAAUAUUUCCAUAUUUGCAAAAUAUAAUGUUAGACAUUAUAACACAUGAUGACUUGCAAUACAUAGUCCCAAUAAUUAUAUAUGAAGCAAAUGAAACUGAUAUUUGUAUUAUUUUAAAUUAGAUAAUGACAUUAAGGGAGUAUAUGUGCAAUACCACGGUCACCCUCAACCAACUGAACAUCGGUAGCCGCAAUCACUUAGUCGUAUCGGUCGGCUUCUUCCGAGCAGCUUUGACGUGCUUAUGCUCAUUCAUGUCACCCCCAUCUUCUAGUAUCUCUCUCACAGCAUCAGGGGACACAUAGUUCCAAUCAUAACUUGUAUGAGUAGUUGCCGCAAAUGCUCGGAAUUUGUCGAUCUUUCGUGAAUGCCAACUCCAGUUCACUAUGGNNNNNNNNNNNNNNNNNNNNNNNNNNNNNNNNNNNNNNNNNNNNNNNNNNNNNNNNNNNNNNNNNNNNNNNNNNNNNNNNNNNNNNNNNNNNNNNNNNNNUUUCAUCAUUCAUUACUGUAAUCCAACUCCUCAGCUUUCAGUUUCCUUUUAUGACUCAGCUUCAAGUACUUGUGCUUUUGGGAGAACGCUUUGUUCACUCUAAUGUUAAGAUCAGCCAAAAUUGCCUUGUCUUCAACACAUUUCUCGUGCCAUGAAUUGAUCAGUCUGGAAUUAUAAUCCAGCUUGCCACUGACUGCAUGUAUUGCCUUUAAUGGAUCAUCGGAGUCCCCCUCACUCCUAAAUGAUGUUGAAAAAGGAAGGGGUCGGCGAGUACAAUGUGAAAAUAGAACCUGCGACUCCAAUUUGUCAUCUUCGAUUGUGUUGUUGGCGCCUGAAGAGGUUGACAUGCUUCAAUAAUCCUCUUUGUUUUGGGAGGAUGAGGAUUGCAUAUGCAAUUUCGUUUGAGAAAGGGAACAUAGGUUUAUAGACCAACAUACCAAAGCUUGUGUGUAGUCAACAUAUGUACUUUUUGGCGGGAAUUUUUUAAAAAUAGGUGUCAGCUUUUGCUUUUCAAGCAUGUCAACCUCACACUCUCCUUACACCACUGAUAGUGGUUGAAAGAAACUCAAUGGAAGUGACAUCUACUUAGUUAACUCAACCAAACUAGUUAGGAUUAAACUUAGAUUGUAUCAGUCCAAAAAUUUAUUUCUACAUUGUCAACCAAAUAUUUUUUGGCGGGAACCCUUUUCUUGGUAUUACUAUCACCCCUUUCAUAUAAAUUCUCCUUCCACACAAAACUCACUCCUCCACCGAAUCUGUCUCCAUCUACUGAUACUCUCUCAAGCAAACAAACUCAUUCCCCCCAAAGAAUGGAUUUACUAACCAAGUUUGAUGUGAGCAUAAUAAACACCCCUCCAAACAAAGACCGCCUUCAACACGCAAGUGAGUCACCAGACAAGCAAUGUCACAUUCCUAGACAGAAUGACCAUUUUGUUGGAAGUUUUGAGUCUGAAAGAGUUGUUGCUUUUUGGAAGGAGAGGCAUCUUGAACUUGGUGAUGAAAUCCAAAGGGCAAGGGCACAUUUGGAAUUUGUUGAAGGCCAAAUUGAAGAUGACAAAAGGCAGGCCAAUCUGGAUAGGGCGAAGUUGCAGCACAUGAAGCGUAGACACAAACGACUUCAGAGUGUAGCUGUUAAAAAAUACAAGAACUCAUCUAAUGCAGUGGAGUCAAAGAAGCAUGUGAUGCAAGCUGGAUUCGACUACUUCCGAUCCUAUGCAAAACUCGUCGUACCCGGGUUUGAUUGGUCAUCUAUUACCGUUUCUGACGUCACCAAAUAUACUCAGCAAGGGAAGUAACCAUUUUGGUUCUCGUGUUUGAGCAGAGGCAAAUCAGUGGAAUUGGAAUUUUCGUUACAGUCUGCUUCAAAGCUAUUUUGAUGCUAACUACUAUGGAAGAUUUAAACCUUAAUAUUUUGAUGUCUUUAAUUACGAAAACACAAGAUGCAAAGAGCCCAUCUACUUCUGUCAUAUGUUGCUGCCAUGUCCAUUUUUUGUUGAUCACGUAUCAGAUUUGGACAUGGUUGCAUCAUAUGCAAUGUUGCCUUUAUUUAUUAUAUGUUAGGACAAGGUUUAUGGAAAAGCUUUUGUGAGUGCGUUUGUGACAAGGUUAUGGAAUUAUUAUGACCAUUUAUAUAUUGUUUUUUGUACUGGUUCAUCUUCUACUAUUUCUUGCUUUCUUUAUAUUUUAUGUUUGUGGAAUCCCUCUCAAAGUUAACAUAUAUUGUGCAAAAAAAUACAGACUGAUUAUAUAAUCACUCAUAUAGACUAGGACAAAUAUUAACUAAGGGUUUUAAAAUUGUUUCACUUGUGUGAGGUUAUUGAGAAAAAGUAUGGCAUUAUUUUAUGUGAUUGGACAUGAUUGAAAAUAUAUUACUGAUUCCCAAUGCGGCGUCAUAUGGACAACUUAUUGAAUACUUCUGACGUGUUAAUAACUCUAGGUGCAGUUGCAUGUGGACAACUUAUUGAAUACCUCUGACGUGUUGAAAACUCUAGGUGCAGUUGCAUGUGGACAACUUAUUGAAUACGAACUGACGUCUUGAAAGCUCUAGGCGUAGUUGCAAUGAUGGCUUCAAAGCAUGUACAAUUAUUAUGGAUGUACAUUAUUAUAACAAAACAUAUUAUUGUAUAUAGUCAAACUAAAUAUUGUAUUAUUACAAAUUAUAUAUCGAAUAUUAUCCGAAAUAUACGUGUUAACGUGAAUUAGGGUUAAGAGGAAAGUGAGUUAUGUACAAAUAAUUUUGAUUUUCUCAUUUUCCGGGCAUUUUUUGGAUUUUCGUAGAAUUUUUUACCUAUUUCCACAGAUUGUUGCACUAAAAAAGCCAAAAUAAUAGCAAGAGGACACCUGGUGCGAUCUCAGCCCGUCACUUUUGACUACUUGCACAAGUGUACGUCAGUCAACAUGGCCACAGCCUCCCAUUUUACCCUAAAUUAUUAUUUUAUUACUUUGUCUUAGAAAAUUUAGAACUAAAUACACAAAAAUUCAAAAUUAUUUCCAAAAAUUGCUACGAACUCAUUGACACUCCAUCUCCCUUGCUGAAUUCUCCGAUUCAUUGUUACGCAUUUUAGACAAUUAUUCCCAACAUUAACGGGAGAUGCUUGUUGAAGUAGGUUAUUGAAGUUUAAGUUAACAAACAUCAAUACUUAGGGUUAAGAGGAAAGUGAGUUAUGUAAAACAAUUUGGAUUAUUUCAUUGCGAGACGAAUGAUUUAUAGGUUCUCCUAGUUUUAUGACGUCACAAGGAGGCCGGAGUAAUUUUUGGGGCAUUUUUAGGAUUUUUCUACUAUUUAUUACCUAGUUUCAAAGACUUUUUAACAAAAGAAUCCAAAAUUGAAAAGAAGAUGACACCUGGCGCGAUCUCAGCCCGUCACUUUUGACUACUUGCACAAGUGUACAUCAGUCAACAUGGCCACAUCCUCCCAUUUUACCCUAAAUUAUUAUUUUAUUACCUUUUUUCUUGUAAAAUUCAGAACUAAAUACACAAAAAUUCAAAAUUAUUUCCGAAAAUUGCUACGAACUCAUUGACACUCCAUCUCCCUUGCUGAAUUCUUCGAUUCAUUGUUACGCAUUUUAGACAAUUAUUCCCAACAUUAACGGGAGAUGCUUGUUGAAGUAGGUUAUUGAAGUUUAAGUUAACAAACAUCAAUACUUAGGGUUAAGAGGAAAGUGAGUUAUGUAAAGCAAUUUGGAUUAUUUCAUUACGAGACGAAUGAUUUAUAGGUUCUCCUAGUUUUAUGACGUCACAAGGAGGCCGGAGUAAUUUUUGGGGCAUUUUUAGGAUUUUCCUACUAUUUAUUACCUAGUUUCAAAGACUUUUUAACAAAAGAAUCCAAAAUUGAAAAGAAGAUGACACCUGGCGCGAUCUCAGCCCGUCACUUUUGACUACUUGUACAAGUAUACGUCAGUCAACAUGGCCACAUCCUCCCAUUUUACCCUAAGUUAUUAUGUUCUUACCUUUUUUCUUGGAAAAUUCAGAACUAAAUACACAAAAAUUAGAAAAAUGAUCCGAAAUUUCUACGAAGUUAUUGAGACUUCAUCUUCCUACUGAAUUCCCUGUUUCAUGGUUAUGCUACAUUAGUAUUUUAUUAUUAUUUAUCCACAAUUAUUAUAAUUAUUAUGAUAUUACUUUGCUGUCCAUUUGUUAAUUAUGUUUAGUCCAACUUGUUGAAAACAAUUUUAUUUUCCGUGCGAAUAGGCCAUUUGUAGUGCUCAUCGGUUUCUCUGUUCUUCUAUUUGUUAAUUUUUUUAUUUUUUAGGUUGAAGGGAUGUUUUGAAACAUAAUAUGGAAAUAUACAAGUCAUCCAUUGUACUCCUUCCACACAAAAAAAUUAUUCUACGUCAUUCACUGUUGUUGUUUUGCUUAAGAAACGUGUAACCAAAUCCUUUCGGAUAUGCUAAGUGGGAAAUUGUCAUUCCCAAGCACUGGUGAAAAGACACCUAUUUACUCCAUGCAUGACUUUUCGUUUACCAAAUAUGAAGAUUGGGGUCGGUGAGCAAAAUAUCUGUGUCAGUAAAAUGUCAUUCCUAGCCGUCUAUGAUGUAAGUAAUAAUUCCGCUAUAUAAUAAAUAUUAUACAUUUAUAUAUAAAACGGUUUAUGACAAAAUACCAACAUUUAAACAACAUUUGUACAACGUAGCCAGCCAACCUAGAAGUGAAGAGAAGCAAGUCCACAAUGCAUCAAAACCAUAAAUUCGUACUAAAACUAAUGCAAAAAUACGUGAUUCCCUCACACAACAUACUCACGCAUCAGUUUGAACCAAAAAAUACUCUCACGGUGCCAUUUGCAUCGAUUGCAACAAGUCCACAGCGCAGGAUUUAUCUUGUCUUCACUAGGCCAGCCUGGAAUAACAAAAUACCAUUCAUUGUUGUUACAAGCGCUGCAGCGAUUGAACUUAAUCUUCCCAUAGUCAAACAUAUCUACGAUAUGUCUUGCAACAAAUGGUCCGCGAAAUCUUCCUGUCAAAGCAUCCCUGGUUCAUUUCAUAUCAAUGUUGUUACGUUGAUUCAAAGAACACAAGAAUUGUAAUGCAUCCUCUUUUGACUGACCAAUUCCGGACUUACCAAGUAGUCCAACUACAUAUGCCGCUUCCAUAUGGCCUGCCGUGGCUGCAAUGCGCAUCCCAUACAACGCUUCCACCUUACCGUGCCUGAAAAAAAGAUCGAAUGCUUCUCUAAAUAUGGACUAAGGGUUAUCGCAAGCCCUGCAUUGUUGCAAGAAAUGCUGGACCGCAGGUCUGGCACGGUACCAGCUAGGAUGGUCUGGGUACUUUGCCAUUGAAAUGGUGUUCCACACUUGUGGACUGUUUGCCAAAGUUUGGAACAAUCGGCACACAGAUGCCAUACAGAAGAGAUCUUCCGAUGAUUCGGUUGCCACGUAUAACAUCACUUGAAACCAGGCGGACUCCGGGAUGAAGGCUUCGGGCAUAUCGAAAUGGAGAUGCUUCCUUCUCUUUCCUCCGAUUGUAGUGAAGUGUUUCGAAUUCAUUGAAAAGUUUUUGGACUGGAACAAUUUGAGGAGUGGCAGAGGGGAUAAAUGAUAAUAUUUGGAGUACACGUUUUGUUUUAGCCUCUGUUUAUAGUGUUUUGAAAAGGUGUUUCCAGUUGGGGUUUUUCCAAGUUGACCCUUUUGAAAGAAACUGAACCCAAAUGAAUUAAAACUUAAGACAAAAGAAGGGAAAACGUCAUAACGGUGCAUACAGAGUCAGACAGUCAAAAAGUUAAUUAAAUGGCUAUUUGCAUAGCCAUUUUUGGGUUUAUCCCACUAUCAAAUUCAUUGAUACAAAUGUGAUGGAUUGCUGACUAGUGACAGAAGGUCCCAUCAUAUAAUUUUUCAUUUUCCCACACCCAACUACCCCUAGUAAUGUUAUUAAAAUGGAAUCAAUAAUGACGGAUUCUUAUCCAACUAGUUGCCUUAAUGAAAUAUAAAUAAAUUAAUAAAAUUGAAGCAGUGUCCCCUCAUUUUUCAGAAAAUAUAUUUGGUAGUGAAGUAGUUUAUAUUGCUUUUCGGGCUAAAAGAUGUCACAAUGCUGACGGUACAGGUGUCGACAUCGUGACCAACCCACCAAAUGAUCCCAAAAAAAAUAAAUAUAACUCGAUUUGGGCAGAGAUGAGAGAGAGCCACCAGUUGCAAUGGAUUCGAAUGGGUUGAUGUAGCCUCCGCUGAAGCAGAACAUCAAGAUGACACGUAUGAUGCUAGAGUGCUGAACACGCUGAAGUCCAUUAAGGACUUGGUAUUAGUUUUAUUAGUUGUAUCAAUUGUCAUUUUAUUUGUUCUUUUAAUGAUCAUUUAACUGCACGGUUUCAAAGAUUGUGAAAGUUCUCCCGCACAAGACAUGUUGCACGCACCACCAAUGAGACCCUAAACCCAUUUUGUAAUAUUUGUUAACUGCAUGUAUUUCGCAAGUUAUAGAACCGAUAUUGAAUGUUUAUUGAAGGUUUAUUGAUAGUUUGCUGCAUGUAUAUGGAAUAUCAUUACCCCAAUAUUGGAUGUUUAUUGGGGCCACAAGUAUCACUCAAGUAAGAAUGAAGGGGGGAAACAGACCUUAUUCUUUCUUUUAGUAGGAAGAACAACUGUUAAGUUUAAUAUCCUAUUCAAUACGACUUCCUUAUGGUUGGUGUACUUGGGGACUGAAGUAUAUUGCAUCAUUAUUGUGGGCAAGGGCAUGUCUAUUGUGUGUGUUAAGGGAGUAUUGUGUGUAUAUUGCAUGUCUAUUGUGUGUAUAUUGCAUGUCUAUUGUGUGUAUAUUGCAUGUCUAUUGUCUGUAUAUGGCAGGCCAAUUUUGUGUAUAUUGUUUGUCUGUUAUGUGUGUAUUGCUUGUCGAAACGCAAGUGAAUUGUUGUUCAUUUUGUGUAUAUUGUCUUUGUUUCUACUUUUAUGCUACUGAGCUGCCGAAAACCGUGCUCAUCGGUUUAGACACCUAUUAUGAUGCAACACAUUGCGAUUAAUGGUGGCUUGCAUCAACAAUGACAUAUCACUUUGCAAUGAUGUAAUACACUUAAAAAGCCAUCUUUAAAUCCCAAUUCACAUAUGCAGUCUUAAAAUUCCAAUUCAAUGCAGUUUGGUUAACAAACAUGUAAAUGUCAUGAAGGACUUAGCGGUAGAAUUCGAUAAGGUCCCGUACGUCUCUAUUGCGUAUUUACAUUAGUUUGAGAAUGGACAUUCCCAAAACCUUCUCAUGUACCAUUUGUCAUCUUCAACCAAUAUCAUGGGAAGUAAGCAUCUCCCCUUGUUAUCUCCGCUGCCAAUUUCAAAAGAAAAAAAGGCAUGUUGUGCGAGGUGCAAGUAGCUAACGGAAGCUGAGCGCUGAAAAGCUCAAUGUACUUUAACACAAACAUGCCACAAUCGCCUCUGAAGCAAAACAAGAACUCGAUCAAUUCAACUAAUGACAUUCUAACGUAAUUGACAAUUGAAAGUAAUAAAAUUAAAUUGCAAGUUGUGCUUACUCAUUAGACUGUUGUGGAACAUCCACACGCUCUAUUGGCCACGGACACCACCAAUCUCGGCUGCAAUUGUUUGCAUAAACACCUUCUUCAUAAAAGUCGAUGGUGUUGAGAAGAUUUGGAAGCGUAAUUGAUAGCGGGGCGAGUUCUUCCUUUACGAUGUCAUUUGGAAUUAGUGAAACCUUUGAAUCGUAAACUUUGAUUUCACACAAUACCAGAUCAAUCAUUACAGCCACCCAAUGCUUGUACUUCGUCAACAUAAAUGGGGUAUACACCUUAUAGACGUUCUGCCAAUCCAUCCCACACGGAGGAACCUUCCCAAUUACAACGUUUAGUAAACUUUUUCUGAUUUUCCACCCAAGCUGCUGUUUUUUUCUUUUAUUAUCCGCAAAGCAAGUACGAAUGUGAUUCUGUGAAAUACAAAACAAUCAAUGGUUAAACACCUCCACUAGUGUGUGUAUGGAAAAUGUGGAAUUAUUAAUGGCACUUGGUCAAGGCCGAUGACAUACCAUAAAAAAAACAUCGGUCGUUGUCCAGUCCGCUAUUUCUACUUCCUCCAACUGUUGUUGUCGCUUCCGGAUGAGAUACAACCCCAAAUCAAUGUGCUGCAACAUGUUUUUCUUGUCAAUCUCAUAAUCUAUGUACAUUAAAACAAAUACAUAAUCAAUUACACUUACAUCUCCUUUCAGCCAACCAUCAGCUUUCACGAGGGAAGCGAAGAAUUCAAUCUCAGCUUCCACGUUGCAAAAUUGCAUCACCAAACUAUGAAUAUAAAACAGUUUUAGAACACUGUAUAUUAAAAAUUAUAUACAGUCAUGCUUCUAUCUUAUAAUUGCAAGGGACUUACUUUGGGUCCUGGCGCCAUUCCCAACAAAGUUUCAGCAAAUUCACCAGAUCAUCAUGCGGAAUCGCCUUCAUUGGGUCUAACAUCUUCAGUCCGGUUGUCUGUGCCCCAGUUUUUGGAACCAAUUCACUGCCUUCAAUGAUCUUCCACAUAGGAAUGAUCCUCUUCCUUUUCCGUAAUUGGACCCCUUGUGCCACAGCUUUACCUUUAUCAUUCAACCACACGUUCAACUGAGAUAGCACAGCUGUAGGUUCAUCCAAAUCAAUGUCCCCGACAGUAAACUCAAGCAGUGUCCCCUCCGUGCUCUCGCCAAUGUCACCCCCAAGCAACAUAACUUCAUUAUCUUCUUUCUCACAUUGAUUUCUUUGCACUUCCUUUUCCUCACUUCUUUGUGUUUUCACUUCCUUGCCCUCCCUUUUUUUCCUUUGCAGUUUCUCUCCCUUACUGCUUUUUAUUUUCACUUCCUCUCCCUCACCGCUCUGUCUUUGGGCUUCCUCUCCUUUGCUACUUUUUACUUGCACUUGCUCUCCUUCACUUCUUUUCCUUUGCCCUUCCUCUACCUUACUUGGUUUUCCUUGCACUUCACCCCCUUCAAUCCCCUCCUCUUCCUUUUCCUCUCCUUCAAUCCCCUCCUCUUCCUUUUCCUCUCCCUCAUUUCUAUUACUUGGCCCUUCACCCCCUUCAAUCCCUUCAUCUUCCUUUUCCUCUCCCUCAUUUCUGUUACUUGGCCCUUCAUCCCAUUGAAUGUCAUCCAUUUCCCCAUAUCCCUUAAAUAGAUGUGAGACGAUACAACGAUUCGUCCUCUGUUUCAGUAAAGCUAGGUCCCUCCUUACUUCCUGCUCAAACUGAGGACCUAAACAUUGGUCCAACAGUUUUUCCAUCCGUAUGACCUUUAAGUGAAGGACGUCUUUUUUCCGCUUUACUUGCAACAACUCGGACCUCAACAAGCUUACCACCUUGUUCAACUCAUCAAGAUCACCACAUGAAGAAGGAAUUGACUCUGCCGAGACAACAGCAGGGUGAUCCUGUGGCCAACUCCAAUAUGGCUGUCUCAUUUCCUCUUCACUCGGACAUAGCGCCCGCAACUGAACUGACUGUUUCAGAAUACAGACAAGAGUCAUAUUAAAUCAUUCUACUUCAUAAUUUCAUUCAAUCUUAUCAAUAGUUCCAAGGGCUGCAAACCAAACCUCUUUGCUCUGGAAAAAAUAAUCGUUCAACUUUCUCAUCUCUGGAACAGACGUAGUAGUUCUCCAUCGCAAAAUACGCGGGACAGCGGUCGGAUCAACAACCUUACAGUAAUUCAGGUCCACCAUUCUAGGAAUUAAUUCAUAUACCCAAAUCUACACAAUUCACAGAACAAAAGUCAUUAUUUAUGUUUUAAAGAAAAACAAAACAUAACUGACAUGAACAUUAUUACCAUGUACCUGGAAAGCAUACGUGAAACCUUUAAAACUCCAGCCACUCCUUUGCGCUUCACCAUGCUUAUCCUUCUUGCCCUUCUCAUUUCUCUGGCUUGUUCCCGUUACCUUACUUUUCCCCUUCCCUCUUCCCUCUUCAUUUUCCAAGCUUUUCACAUACUUUGUUGGUGCAGAAAAUAGACUGUCUUGGGUUUUGUCAAAGGACACCGAACCCCACGGAUACCUGUUGAACGCAUCCAAGUCCUCUACAAGGGUCAGGUAAUUUAGAUUGAUGUUCAAAUGUUUGUCCCUUCCCAAAACCACUAACUCAGCAAAGUAAACAAGAGCUAGCUUGUAGAUGUCAUCUUCCUCUGUGCACCUCAGAAUGCUUCUUCUAAAGCAUUGCAUGUAAUUCCUUCGUCUAUAAAAUAUCUUUUCUGAAGUCUGAUUUCAUCACUCUCUCUGCUGGAAACUUCAGGCACUUCCCCAAAACGAAGCCCUGUGAUCAAACAGAAAUCCUGACGAGUGAAUUGAGCAACGUCACACCCUAAUAAGAAACUCAGUCCAUCCAAGUCUUUCACACCCUGCCCCGCUACUCUAUGCAACACAACCCCAUGCACAAUCUGCCCGCUAAACUGAAUCUUAUCUAUAUUCAGAAGAUGGCCAAAGCAUGAUGUCUUGAAUUGUUCUAAUUGUUCCGCACUCAACUUCGCUCGAAUUGCAGCUAGAGAUGAAUUUGCAUGUGAGCAGUUGUUCACCCAUGACGAAUAUACCUCUGCCUCUGGCCAUACCAGCUCCACGUUGGAUCCCAUUUCCUCAAAUACAAUGUGAAAUAACGUGAACACAUAUACUACCACGUAUUUGCACAAUCACAACUAGUCAACCAGGCACAUUACAAAUUUUACAAAGUACAUGAGCAUAGGGAUUACUGAUCACAGGCUUUAACAUCAUCAAAGCAAUAUGACAAAUUUUGUGCAAAUACCUGUUAAUGCAAUGAUUAUGUGAAUUACAAACAAUUUCACGUGUUUUAUUUAUGGAUCCAUACUCGUGUGAGUGCAAUGUAGGCAAGUUCUGCACUUCACACACAUGACAAUUAUUGUCAUCUCAUACACAACACAAAAUAAAUAAAUAAGAAAUAUAGUGGAAGGAAGCAAAGCAAAGCAUCUACUCUGCUAUCUGCUUGCUAAGCAAUUGCCACAUCCUUCUUCCUUUCUAGCUUUUUCUUCAGUCACCCACAAUCGUCAUAGAUCAACCUUCAUUUCAAAUGCUUUGCACUUUUAUUCAUGAGUUUAUUAUUAUCUGUUCUCAUUUCUCAUAGGCAAAUUUAGUAACAAAUGAAAUAAUAUUUAUUUCACAAAAUAUAUAAAUUCUAGUGCCAGAGAGGUACUCUUCACUCUGCACUGCUUCAAAUGUGGAAGGUUUUGAGCGCCUCCUCCAAUUUAACACCAUUAUCUUAUUCAUAUCAUUACUAACAUGUUAUUGACAUGUUAUUCAGAUGUUAUUGACAUGUGAUUGACUUUAUUUUCAUUCAUUUUUUAACAUAUACCCAAGAAAAAAUUAACAUGCAAUUGAAGCACAAAUAAGAGAUGCCAAAUCCAACAACAUUGAUGGUACAAAUUGGGGAAAACCAUUACUCUAACCCUAAACUCAAAUUCCUUACAUUACUCAUCAAAUGCUUUGCAGUUCUAUUCAUGAGUUUAUUAUUAUCUGUUCAAAUGUUUCUCAGGCAAAUUUAGUAACAAAGGAAAUCAUAUUUACUUCAUAAAAUAUAUAUAUAUAUAUAUAUAUUCUACCGCCUCUUCUUAAUCUGCACUAUGCACUGCUUCAAAUGUGGAAGGUUUUGAGGGCCUCCUCCAAUUCAACACCAUUAUCUUAUUCCUAUCAUUAUUGACAUGUUAUUCACUUGUUAUUGACUUGAUUUUCAUUCUUUUUUUAACAUAUACCUAAGCAAAAAUUAACAUGCAACUGAAGCACAACGAAGAGAUGCCAAAUCCAACAAAAUUUAUGGCACAAAUUGGGGAAAACCAUUACUCUAACCCUAAACUCAAAUUUCAUAAAUUACUCACCAAAUGCUGGUUAUUGCAAGGUGUCUGUGUGGGGUCUUUCUGUUUCUUUGCUCCACAAAUGGAACCUACCACUUCCAACGAAUACAGCUUCUCCCCUUCCCCUUCCACUGCUUCGCCCCUUCACUGAUUUGGAAUCCACACCUUUUCCCCUUCUACUCCAAAUAAAUACUUUUUCAGGGUUUGGAGAACGGAGUGGCGAAUCGUUGCCUUCAACUGUCGUUAGCCGUUGCCUUCAUUGGGUAUCUCAGACCUCUGGGUUUUAGAGAGAUGAGUUCUUUCUGUUCAAACUUUGAACUUGCCUCUUCUUCUUCUUUUUCGGACGUGUUUCCCUCUUCUUCUUCUUUUUGGACGUGCUGGAUAUUCAAUUCGGAUUUGGGUUCCUCACCUACCCAAUUGUGAAACUUUAUCUCAAUUCUCCCCAGCCCUUGGAUUGAUCUGAUGGCUAUAAAGUGAACCCCUUAUAACUUACCCCUUAUAACUUUCCACUCAUUAUAGAGAGACCUCUAGUAGGCUCUCCAUGUAUAUUGUAAUAGUCCUUUAUAGUGAAAUAUAAAUACCAAGCUCUACAGUAGAUAUAGCCCUAUUUAUGGGUGAACCACUCUAAAUCUGUGUAAUGUGUGUGAUUGUCCAUAUAUCCUCUAGGAUCCGUGCUAAAUCACCCGUUAACAGUUGGCGCCGUCUAUGGGAAACGCAGACAAAAUGUCUCGUUUUCCUUUAUCAUACUGAGCCAUAUUCAUCGGCCCAGCCCCUAGGCGAAGUGUGCUCAAGACACCCAUGUGUCUCUCCUCUAAAAAUUAAGAACAGCAGGCGAAACUUAGAUCGGCUCUGGGGAGUGGUCGUGCUACACUAGGGAUGGAGCUGUGGAGAGUUGCCCCUGAAAAACUCCUAGCGGCUGACAUCCGAGCUCGUUGACUUGCAUUUUUCGUUACCACAUCUCCAUGGCGAAGUCACUUGAGCCAGUAGGGGUAGUGAGGUACCUCCAUCACCGCUUAAACUAUGGCACGCCAGAGAACUUGCCACUAUGUAUACAUGCACGACUUCGCCGUUGUCACCAUCAGAAGUGGGGGCGUCACUCUAUGGGCUCCAACGCUCUCGCAAUCCACAUCGGCUCAUACGACGCACGCCGCCGCCAGGCUCAUACGCAGGCGGCAAGGACACGGGCUGUGUGCGCCCCCAUCGUCUUCCCUGAGACGCAGACUAACGAAAGAGAUAAGAAUCUCCUUUUUCCACCUUUUGUUAUUUCACAAUAAAAUAUCGUAUCUCAUUGCCAUGUUAUGAUGUUAUCAAAUUAUCCAAUAAAAUCCAUCGUGUGAUAAUUUGGCAAACCAUGUUUGGGUCUACAAAUACUCUGAGUCAAUAACAUGAACCGCACCAAGCCAGUUAUAAAAUCCUAGAUAUAUAUGGCUCCCCACAAAUGGAAUAUGUAUCCUUUUAAAACUAUUAUAAGGGGAGCUGGACUCAGCUUUACCCAUGUGCCCACUAAAGAGAGAAUAAAUCUCUUCCUGCCAUGAUAUUUACAUUAUAAUAUCGUAUAUUAUGACUUUUUCUAUUGUGAAGUCCAAGUGUGCGGAGUGGAUGCAGACUUCUAUUUGUGACCAUUAGAUUCCUUGUACGCUGUAGAUUUAAAACAUCAUUGAGAACUUCUAUUUCUAUCAGAGCUUUUUAGUCCUUUGGCAAGCGCCAUAAUUUCCCGCGCUUACACCUUCAAUCUACUAACCUCUGUUUCUUUCUUUCACCACAACACCUUCUCUUCUAUGUGCUUUCAUCCCUGGCAAUAUCACAGUUGCUCCUCUGGGUUAUAAUAUUUUUAUUUCUUCUUUUCAACACCUUAUCUUCCGUGUGCUCUCAUCCUUGGCAAUAUCAGAGCUGCUCCUCCAGGUUAGAAUAUUUUUAUUUCUUCUUUUUUUUUGCUUAAUGAUAUAUGGGUAUUUUCCAUUUUGCUUAUGCAAAGUUUUCUGAUUUUCUUAUGGCAUGGGAUUGUUUAGAUUUGGGUGUCGUUGGAAAUCACGAAGGUUGGAAUCGGAAAAACAGAAAGCAUUGAUGUAUGGGUUAUAUGGAUAUGGCUACUAAUUGGUCUUUGUUUUUGUAUGGUUUUGACUAAGUUAUUCUAUUUCGUUUUCUGGUUGAAAGUUUAUUUAAUUCAGGUUUCAUAUGCAAUUACGAGUUUGGCUUUUGGUUUUAAGCAUUGCUACAGUAUUCUUUGCUAUUGUUUACCAAUGUCCCAUUGACCAAUAUUUUUGUUAUUUUUUGCUUUAAUAGAUGAAACUUUAGAGAUGGGGAAGCCCACAAGAAGGACUCGGGACAUAUGAAUUUAUGGAAGAUACUAAUGAAAAUAAUUCAGAUUUAUUUUUCAAUGCUCAAGUAGAAGAUUAGCAUGUACCAAAAAUUGGUCAAGAGUUUGAAUCACUUGAGGAUGCCUAUAACUUCUAUAACAACUAUGCAAAACAAGCGGGGAUUUAGUGUUCGAAGUUAUUGUCAGCAAAGGAGUAAAACUUCUAAUGAGAUCUUGAGAAAAGAAUAUGCGUGCUACAAAGAGGGAGUAUAUUCCAAAGAAGUUUCUAAUGGAAGUGAAAGGCGGCGAGGUGUAGUACGAAGUGGGUGUAAGGCUAAGAUUGUGUUUUUGAAGGUAAGAGAAGGAACAAAUCAACAAUUUGGUGAUGUUAAUAUCCCAACACAUCAACAAUUUAGUCUUCUGGAAGUGCAAGCAGGAGGGAUGCAAAACAUUGGAUAUACAAAGAAAGAUUUAUAUAACUACAAAAGACAAUUGCAGAGAAAGAUGAAGGGGCAUGAUGCACAGAUGUUGAGUGAGCAUUUUAUUGGUGAGCAAGCAAAAAAUGAAUCUUUCUUUUUCAUGAUAGAGGCUGACGAUGAUGAUAGGCUUAAACAUUGUUUUUGGGCUGAUCCAACAUCUAGAAGAGCUUAUAAGUUUUAUGGUGAUGUGGUUGUAUUUGAUACCACUUACAAUACUAAUCGAUAUGGUAUGGUAGUCAAACUAUUCUUUUUGGUUGUGGGAAUCAGAGACAAAGGAAGAAUUUGAGUCAAAGUGGAUGGAUGUGGUCCACAAAGGUAAACUAAAUGAUGAUGAGUGGCUAUCUUCAAUCUAUAAAUACGUUCAAGAUGGGUGCCAACAUAUGUGAAAGAUUUUUUCAGCAAGUAUGUCAAGUAGCCAACGAGUAGAGGGUGUUCAUGCAUUUUUCAAGCUCUAUAUUUCAAAAAGAAAUUCUUUAAUGGAUUUCAUACUACGGUUUAAUAGAGCGCUUGCCCAGCAACGUCAUGAAGAGAUAAUUGCUGAUCAUGUUGAUAUCAAUGAGCAGCGUAUGUUGAAAUCUCCAUUGAUAAUGGAGAAGCAAAAUGGCUGCCAUUUAUACUCGUAAAAUUUUCUACAAGUUUCAAAAAGAGUUGUGGAAAUGUUUGGCAUGUGUACUUCAACUUGCAAGAGAGGAUGACAAUUUAUGCUUUUAUAAGGUAAUGGAGAGGAAAAAAGAUGGUAGCUUCAAGUUGAAGGUGCAAGAAGUCAUGGUUGACAAAGUUGUAGACUAUGCUUCAUGUAUAUGUAAGAAAUUUGAAUUUAAAGGAAUCUUAUGCAGGCAUGUGUUGGCAUACAUGAAAAUGAGACAAAUUGAGUAUUUGUCAAAUAAAUAUAUAUUAAAGAGGUGGACAAGAGCCGCAAAAUCUGAUAUAGUUGUGGAAGAGGGUGGAAGGCAAAUUACUACUGAAAGUGGUGAUAAUUCAUUAUUAAUGAGGCAAACAAGAUUGUCUAAAAUUGCUUUUGAGCUUAUUGAUGGUGCUUGGUAUCUCAAGAGGCAAGUAAAGUUCUACUAGAAAGUUUUGAAGGUAUGCGAGAAAAGAUAAAUUUUGUGGUGCGUAGUAGAAACAAUAUAUGUGGAGGCAAUAAUGAAAAUGCAACUAGUUCACCACAUUUGAAUGACCCUCUUCAAGUAAGGGCGAAGGGCUGCGGUAAAAGAUUGAAGGGAGCAAAAAAGAAAGCAAUGAAUAAGAGUAAACGUCAUUGCCAUGGGUGUGGACAAACAGGACAUGACAAAAGAACUUGUACAACUCACAUUAAUCAGUAAGAAACUAAGUUGAAUUUUUUGUUUCGAUUUAUUCGAUUUAUUCCAUUCAGAGACAUAAUAUAAUAAUGAAUUAAAAGUAAUUAAUAGAUUCAAUUAAUAAUAGGAAGUAGAUGCCACUACUUCGAAGUCAUGCUGUUAGAAAAUUAUAAUAUUUAUAUUUAAUUUUUUAAUAAUUGAAUGAAAAUUAAAUUGUGGGACUCGUGACUUUAAGUACAUGACUUUUACGAAUUGGUAUGUAUCCAUUGGGAAUAGUCAUGUUCUUAACCGAGGAAAAUAAAGUAUUAUUUAUUUUGUUUGUAAAAUGAUAAUACUUUAUGUGAUAAGUUGCAUUGUUUCAUAUAUGAAAAGUUGGAUUGUUUCAUAGAAAUUAAAACAUUGCAUCUUGGCUUAAGUUGCAUUGUUUCAUAUAUGAAAAGUUGCAUUGUUUCAUAGAAAUUGAAACAUUGCAUUUCUUGGCUUAAGUUGCAUUGUUUCAUAAUAAAUGAAACACUGCACUUCUUAGCUUAUGGUUGCAACAUGAAAAGACACAUUUGUUGAUAUUUUUCAAUCACAUAUUUUCUGAACAAAGGCCUUGUUGCCUAUAAAUAGAGAAGAUCCUACAACAUUUCAUUCAUCCAAUUGUCAUCCAAUAGUAGUUUUUAGAGCAUUCAUAGCAUUAUAUUUUUAGAAAUAUAGUGAGUUAGUAAGAGACAAAAUCAUACACAAGUUUGAGUUCGCUUUUCUUGGAGGCAUGUCCACCUCCAUCAAUCCGCCUUCACUACUCGCCGAUGUCGCAGGAACUUCUGCUGCUCUUGCUCCUGCUCCAGCUCCAGCCGCCGCUGCAGCUCCUGCAGCCGCUCCUGCUGCUCCUGCAGCCGCUGCAGCUCUAGCCGCCGCCGCUCCUUCUGUUGCUCAUACUGCUCAUACUGCUCAUGCUGCUCCUGCAGCCACAUCUCCAGCAGCUGCUGCUGCUCCUGCGGUUGCCGCCGCUGCUCUUGCAGCCAAUGCUGCUCUAUGUUGCAUUCAACCUAAAAACGUAAGAAAUUUAGUGUGCAUGAAAAGACUUAAACCUUGACCCUCAAAGGAGGAAAGCCUUGUUCACAAACCACAUCACCAAUCUUAUUUUUGUGGUAUUUUGUCAGUUACGCAAUAUUUAUAUUAACAGUCAAUGGUUUUUUUUUUAAUAUAUAAAAAAAUUUCACAUAUGGGCCUCCUCUUUAGCCUAAUUCAAAACAAAAUUUCAUUCAUAGAUAUUAAAACCCAAACAAAAAUACUCUGUCUCAAAUCCUAAUUAGUCAUUAUGUCUAAUACCUAAUUUUUCUUUAUUGUAUUCAAUCCCAAUGUGGCCUAGGGGUGGGCGCGGUCCGGUUCGGUCCGGUUCUCACCUCAAACCGGAACCGAAACCGGUAUUAUUUAACCGGUCCGGUUUAGGCAAAAAAAAUUUCAAAAACCGGCCGGUUCGGUUCUAACCGGUUCCGGUCCGGUUCUGACCGGUUCCGGUUUUGAACCGGAUUAUUAAUUUAUUAUUUUUUUAAUUUUUUUUUUAAAAAAUAAUUUUUUUUAAUUUUUUUUUUUAAAAAAUUAUAAUAAAUAACUUAUUUUUUUAGCUUAAAAAUGAACAAAUAAUCCAAUUCAUACAUUUAGAAAUUUUUUGAAGUUGAACUUGGAAAAUUAGUGAUUAUAAAAGUUAAAAUAUGGCAUUAGAUUUUAAAAUUUUGUAAAAAUAUAAAUAUAAAAUAUAUGUCCGGUCUGGUUCGGUCCGGUCCGGUGCGGAGAGAUGUAAAACCGGAACCGGAACCGGUUGGAACCGGUUCGGUCCGGUUCCGGUCCGGUUUGUUGACUUUUUUGGUCAACCGAUUUUUUUUCCGGUUUUUUUUCACCGGUUCGGUUCGGUGUUCCGGUUUUCCGGUCCCAAUGCCCACCCCUAAUGUGGCCUUCCCAAAAUGAGCUCCAAAUUGACAUUCUGUGAUACAUAUGGGACUUCAUAACUUAAGCCUUUUGGAUACAUCAUGUCCUCCCAAAACAAAAGAUAUACAUACAAAUACGAUAAAUAAAUAAAAGGAUAAAUUUCACUUUACUAUCCAGAGAAAGAUGGAAAUAUAAUUUCCUUUAUUUUGUUCAGUUAUUCCCAUGAUAUAUAUAUAAAUGACAACUUUUAAAUUAAUCUUUCAACGUAUAUAUAUAUAUAUAUAUAUGUAUGUAUGUUUUGGAAAUAAUUUACUUUAAAUCAUAAUUAAAUUGGUACCUCUACCUCCUGAUCAUAAAGAAAUGGUAGAUCUACCUUGAUUGCAUGCCACGAAGUUUCUUCCGUGCUACAAACCAACAGAUUGAGAGAAUAUUUUCUAUCAGUGGAAUGGAAGCCAUGCAUACAGAUGAAAAAGCAAACAGAGAAAAGAAAGCAAUCUUGUUUAUUAGAGAUAGAGAGCUAGCUUAAUUAGCCACUCUCUCUCUCCAUCCCCUCGCACUUUAGUCUUUACAUUUUGUGCUGAUUGAAAUAAAGUAGAAUUCCCAUGUGAUAUGAUAUCCAUUAAAAUCCCCCUUAAUUAUUUCUUAAAAUUUCCAUCUCGUCUCCUUUGAAAACUAAAUAAAUAAGACUAAAAAGCUGCAAAAAGAUUAUGCAAAUUAAUUAAGCAGCCGAUGAGCAGUUUAAUUCGUGCUUACCUUGAAGAAUUUUCGCACGAGUCCUUGUUAUCAGUGGUAUUCGCGUUCAUUCGGUUAUUACAUAGUUUUGAACCACCUAAACACAUAAGAAAUAUGGCAGGCAAAAGGGAUGCUUUGAAAGGACUAUUAGCAUGCCGAAGGCAGUAAACAUACUGAACUAUAGAGCAAAUGCACUGUGAGAUGCCAGCAACUAGUCCAUAAAUGUCAGGAAGCGUACCAAAAGGCGUAUGUCGAGGAGGUGGUGUAUGAUAAAACCACCAGAGCAUUCCCCAUCUCCUCAACACAACUCUUUCCUUUUUACCUCUGUAAAUUAGCUCCCAGAUGGAAAUGAGCACAGCUGCAAUAGCGAACAGCAUCCCAAAUAGUGCAUAGUGGGGUGUUCUUGGGGAGGAAGCCUGAUCACAAGCAGCUGACAAGAUCUCUAGGCCAAGGCUAGUGGCUAAAAAUAUCCACUCUGUUGAUUUGGAAGUAGCCCUCAUCCCUGAAACUCAAGGAGGGUUUGUAAAGAUUACUAGUAGGUGUUAAAUAUGGCUCAGAAGAAGACUGAUCUCCACGACGAGUAUUUGCAAACCAGGAAACCAGUUGUUGCUCUCUCAAUUUCCAUAGCUAAUAAGCAAGUGCUUUUCUUUGAGACAUAAAUACCUCUGUUUGGUUACUGAACGUUAGCAUUGUGGAGAAAGGAAUUUACAUAGAAAAAGAAAGGAACUUUUGGAGACGGUUCCUCUGUUAGCUUGUGUGUGUAAACAAUAAGAGUGUUGGAAGUGUGAAAGCAGGAAAUAUUAGCUUGACUUGUGUAGACUUGUGGAGAGUGCAGCUACAAGUUCCAGGCCUUAGGAACACAAACCCGCAUAUUUGGAAGGGUUUGUUGGGCGUGGUAUUCUUGAGGACCAGCUACCUACUUGUAAUUAAUAUUAAUACAACGAUGAGCUGUCAAAUACCGCAAGGUAAAGGUGGAGACUUGAAGGAAAAGAAUCAAAGAACGUAUGGCCAAGGUAAAGGUGGAGACUUGAAGAAAGCAGAGCUUGUAGUCCAAUUUAGAGAGACACAAGGUAAAGGUGGAGACUUGAAAAUUCUGACAGCUGCAAUUCAUCUUUGUGGAGCCCAAUAGCAGAAGAAGAGAGUGUUGUGACCAACUGGUUUCAAUAUGUGGUGCCGCUAUGACUGACCGGCUUUUCGUACCAUUUUGGCAUUUGAUUAUUUAGGGGAAAAUCACUUUCUUUGAAAGUGAUGUGCGUGUUAGUGUGUUUGGAAUUUUCACAAACAGUAAUUGCCCCAGCAAGGAUAAAUACGUCUUUCCCCCUGUCUCUCAGUCGCUCGCCUGGUCUCUCUUUCUCCCGGCCGACGCCUCCAGAGUCCACGACCUCCAGCUCUCUUCGCCAACCCAUUCGCAGAAUCGCAGAGCGAGCACAAAUCGAGACCAACUCUCUCUCAUCAUUCCCAUUCUCCGAUGCCCCGAUUCCCAACAUCCUCCACCAUCGAUCACUCCAAACGGAAAAGGUAAAUAAAUGUAUUUUGUUUCUGUGUUUAUUCCAGCAUAUGGUCUUUGUUUUGGUAUUGAAUAGAUGCAAUGAUUUGGUUGCAUUUUAUGUACUGGGUCUAUUGAUUUGAUUUGAUUUGAUUUGAUUCUUCCAUUUUCUGAUUCUCCCCAUCAAUUUUCAAGUACCCAAAUUUAUCAUCUUAAUAUUUGUUGGGUUAUGGAUCAUUGGUGUAGAAACC
rnacentral:lncRNA from 1 species